ACUACAAAAUAAACGCACUUGUUGACAGCAGCAGUCAAUGCAGAGCGUAAACGGUAAUUCCCGAUUUUCUGGGUUCCCUCUGAAACAUUGGCCAUCACCCAUCAUUAUCAUUACGCAUUGAGACAGUGCCAUUCCGCAACAUUUGCGGACCAAGGAAUCAAGGAAUUUACUUGUUGCGAACCAUACCGCGGCGUCAGUGUCCAAAAGCUGUCAAAUGCUGCGCAUGCACAACCUUUUGGUGUCUUCAGUCAAUGGAACCUGCCUAAUCCAUCACACGAAAAAAACUAAAUUGGAAGACUAUCAAUUUACUCAGCUAGUUGUGCGGCGAGAUCCGGAAAUAUUGUUUUAUUAUUUUGUCACAUGGCUGAGAGAUUUCAAUAACAACAAAAAAUGGCGACAAUCACGUUGUUCGAUGUGGGUCUUGCUGCGUCAUUAAAACUAUUCACGUAAACACGGGAAUGAAACGCGCAAAAUGCAAAACCAGCAAAUCGAGUUGUUUACAUGAAGCGGAGGGAGAAGGAGAUAGGGAGGAGCCUCCUCCGGCGGGCUACGCRACUGGACUGCUGGAGAGCCUUCGCGCGCUGAGGGCGGAGCCCCAAGAACCAUAACAAGUCCGACGUCAGCUAUUUGGUGCCCAUAAAUUAUGCAGUUCAAACAAUACUAAGUAAACAGUGGUGACUUCGACCAAUUAACAAGGUUUUAUUMUUUUGGGCUACAUGUAUCUGUUGUAUAGAAAAUGAUCUUUCAAAGAGGUUUAGAAAAAGCUGAUAUGCUACAGUAGUUACACAUGUAUUGGUAGGUAUUACAUUCAAAUGAGGUGAGAAAGAAACAUCUUACUAAUGGUAGUAAAAUUYCUUUCUAAAAUUCUGUAAUGCCUGUGUCGAAUUCAUAGCACAUACACAAUUCAUGAUUAUAUCCURUGAAUAAUUACAAAGCUUUGCAGGUUUUGGUAACCUAUUAGAGAAACCUAUUUACAUUACUUCUGCAUGCAAUUGUGUUCUCAUUCUUGUAAUGUGAUACCAUGAAAUACAUAAAUACAGACAUGAUAUUUGGAUUUUA